rnacentral:lncRNA from 13 species
AUGAUAGAUACCAUGACAACACUCAGGGGGAGUGAAAGCAUAAACAGGAACUGGGGCCAGAAGAUCCUGACUUGGAGAAUGGGUGGCCACCUACAGCGUCUCCGUGCAUUGCCACAGCUUUGGGGUGAGCAUCCAGCCUUCCUUUACAACGUUUUUAGCUUCCCUGUCAAUGUAAGAAAUAAAUAUCACGCAAAAAAUAUAGAGGCCGGUGUCUCCGGGUGAUAAUCAAACCAUUAAUCUUCAGUCUAGAAAUGCCUCAGAUGAAGAUUCAAUAUGGGUGACUGCUCAGAGCUGGGCUGCUCUAACCACAGAUGUAGCUCCAGGUGGAGGUUUUGUGGACCACGGGUCCCCAAGUAGGCGGAGGCUGUCAGCAUGGCCAGGUUUGGGCAUAGUAUGAAGAAGCAUCCACUGGCCCAGACUUUGGUCCAUAGAGUUUCUUUAGUUAUCAGGCCAUAGCAUUCCAUAGGGAAGGAGGCAGGUGUCCCUAGCACCUAAUCUCUUAAGAGCCAGAAACUCUUUAAGCACCAUCCAAUAACGCCAUAAACGUGUACAGAGUGAAGUAUGAGGUGGGGGAGAUUUUCAGUGGUACUCAUGAUGCACAGAGCAGACUUUCUAAUUAUGAUAAUCUCACCCAAAGUCCAAACUCCUAAACCAGCAUGGUCUGGGAAGACAUGCAGAAUCUCAGAGCCCACCGCCUGGUUUGAUAUUUAGUUUCACCGUCGUAUGCCCAUGAGACCCAGGGUUUAUAACCCAUACUUUGCCAAACCCAGCUCAAAUCCUGCCUCUUCAGAAAACUACCCCUUAUUGUUCCUAGAUGCUUUUCUGAUCCCCUCCUCUUUCAAGUCCUAACAGUCUUGAGGUGUAUCUUACAAUUCAGUACUUGGUGAGUUCUGUCUUAGGCUGUUCUAAUUGUUCCAGCGGAGAAAGCCCUGUUACAAAAGGAUUACCAGCUACAGAAGAGUACCUUUCUCUCUUCUUCAGCAAUGGGAACAGUUCAAAACACAUUGUAUGUUCUCAAGAAGGCCUGUGGGUUGGCUGACCCGUGUAGACGUAGGGUACACUGUAGCCAGAGCGACUGUAAUUCCGUGGUACUAAAUCACUCUCAAGGCUGAAAUUACAUGUAAUGAAAGGCUUUUCCCUGGCUCCAAAACAGAACUAAACACCUCCUCUUUCUAUCCCCUGAGGCUAUGAAUGGCCUCGCCAUCUUCUGUCCUCUAACACAAAUCAGAAAUCCAGAUUUAAUCAUGAUCUUUGAUUCUUCCUUCCUUCUUCCUCAGCCCCUAAAAACAGUUGCCCCCAAAGUCUUAUGAAUUCUUACCACUUCGCAUCUCUCAGAUGGUGUUACAUCUCUCCAUCACUCCUGUGACUGCAGUCACACCCUCAUCAUUCCAGUGAGGUUUUGAGCACAACCCCAUCCUGCCUUUUUGUCUACUUCUGCACUGAGUGAUUCAUCAACCAAACCUCCAAUCCAUCAUGCCUCUUAAAACCGUGUAGAUAAAAGUCAAGCUGUUGUUUCCUACUGCUUCCAAGAUUUGUUUAAAUUACUUAUCACAGUGUACAAGGUCCUCCUUCGUCAUGAGCUCAUAGAGACACUUCUUAUCUCAAUACCCUUUGGCUGAGUCACGAUGACCAAUUAGGAAUUUCUUGAGGUCCAUGCAUUUUAUGCAAUAGUUUUUGCUCUGCAAUACUCUAGCACCUCUACACCUACUUCUCAGGGCUCUGUCUGUCCUUCACGUCUCCACUCGAGCAUUUUCUCCUUGUGAAAGCAUUCCCAGAGUAGGGGAACCUACAUUCAAAUAAUUCUCUACUAACAUUCAAGUACUUAAUACCUUGUGUUGUCAUUACGAAUCUCAUUGACUGCCUUGGCUGUUAUUAAACUAGACAUUUGCCCCUUUUAGAUCAGAAAUUGUAUCUCAUUCAUCUGUGAAUACUCAGAGCUCAGCGCAGCGUCUGGCUCAAUAAAUAAUUACCGGGUGCAUAGAUGAAUAGAGAA